GAGUUUGAUCCUGGCUCAGGAUAAACGCUGGCGGCGCACAUAAGACAUGCAAGUCGAACGAACUUAAUUCAUUCUUUUAGAUUGGAAGCGGUUAGUGGCGGACUGGUGAGUAACGCGUGAGCAACCUGCCUAUUAGAGGGGAAUAACAGUGAGAAAUCAUUGCUAAUACCGCAUAUGCUUACACUAUUGCAUGAUAGAGUAAGGAAAGGAGCAAUCCGCUAAUAGAUGGGCUCGCGUCUGAUUAGCUAGUUGGUGGGGUAGAAGCCUACCAAGGCGACGAUCAGUAGCCGGACUGAGAGGUUGAACGGCCACAUUGGGACUGAGAUACGGCCCAGACUCCUACGGGAGGCAGCAGUCGGGAAUAUUGCGCAAUGGAGGGAACUCUGACGCAGUGACGCCGCGUAUAGGAAGAAGGUUUUCGGAUUGUAAACUAUUGUCGUUAGGGAAGAAAAAAGACAGUACCUAAGGAGGAAGCCCCGGCUAACUAUGUGCCAGCAGCCGCGGUAAUACAUAGGGGGCAAGCGUUAUCCGGAAUUAUUGGGUGUAAAGGGUGCGUAGACGGGUGUUUAAGUUGGUUGUGAAAUCCCUCGGCUCAACUGAGGAACUGCAACCAAAACUGGAUAUCUUGAGUGUCGGAGAGGAAAGUGGAAUUCCUAGUGUAGCGGUGAAAUGCGUAGAUAUUAGG
rnacentral:rRNA from 1 species